rnacentral:rRNA from 1 species
UACGAAGGGGGCUAGCGUUGCUCGGAAUCACUGGGCGUAAAGCGCACGUAGGCGGAUCUUUAAGUCAGGGGUGAAAUCCUGGAGCUCAACUCCAGAACUGCCUUUGAUACUGAGGAUCUUGAGUCCGGGAGAGGUGAGUGGAACUCCGAGUGUAGAGGUGAAAUUCGUAGAUAUUCGGAAGAACACCAGUGGCGAAGGCGGCUCACUGGCCCGGUACUGACGCUGAGGUGCGAAAGCG